UACGUAGGGAGCAAGCGUUGUCCGGAAUCAUUGGGCGUAAAGCGCGCGUAGGUGGCUCCAUAAGUCCGUUGUGAAAGUCAAAGGCUCAACCUUUGAAAGCCGAUGGAUACUGUGGAGCUAGAGUACGGAAGAGGCGAGUGGAAUUCCUGGUGUAGCGGUGGAAUGCGCAGAUAUCAGGAAGAACACCCGUGGCUAAGGCGGCUCUCUAGUACGGUACUGACGCUGAGACGCGAAAGCGUGGGGAGCGAACAGG
rnacentral:rRNA from 1 species